GUCGUCAAUGUGGUACGAGAUUGGUACACGGAAAGAAUAAUGUUACUUUCACCUGGUUUCUACGUGAUAUAACGCUGUACUUUUUGCUCCAGCUCGCAACGGAUAACCUGCAAAAGAACAUCAUUGACUUUCGGUGCUCAAAAUCUACGUUAUACAGCCAUCUUACCGACGGUGAAGCUUGUUUCAAUAAAACUAGACGGAUCCUC